rnacentral:rRNA from 1 species
UACGUAGGGGCCGAGCGUUGUCCGGAGUUAUUGGGCGUAAAGAGCUCGUAGGCGGCUUGUCGCGUCGGCUGUGAAAACCUGGGGCUCAACCCCGGGCCUGCAGCCGAUACGGGCAAGCUAGAAUUCGGUAGGGGAGACUGGAAUUCCUGGUGUAGCGGUGAAAUGCGCAGAUAUCAGGAGGAACACCGAUGGCGAAGGCAGGUCUCUGGGCCACUACUGACGCUGAGAAGCGAAAGCAUGGGGAGCGAACAGG